rnacentral:lncRNA from 1 species
CUAAUCAUAUACUAAAUGUCACAUUUUCAAGUUUUAUUUUAGUGGAUAAUUACUCAUCAGUUGAGGUGCUCCUGAUUUGGAGGAAGAUUCACAAAACAGAAUUUUACAGAAAAAAUGAAAAAAAAUCGUUUCUCUCCCCAAUCUCAUGUAUCUCCACGAACUUUGUUUACUUUGAAAGUUAUUGACCUACAAAUUAAAGUAUUGCAUGUUGAUGUUUGAAUCAUCUACAGCAAACAUAAUUAUGUUUAAAUUUAACAAAUAACAAUUUAUAAUUAGUGCACGAACUCUGAGAAUGAUUUAAAUAAACAGUGAAGGAUAUCCCUGCUUCUGCAUAGUGUGGCAUUCCAACAAUGACGUCAUUAUAAAUACAAUGUAGGUUGGAUAUAUUUAGAAUAUCUCGUCAUACAGAUUUUUCCGGAUUGUAAAAGAAACGUUAAUAGUGUAAAAGAUAGCUCAAAAUACAAUAAUUUCGUUAGAAACAGAAGGGAAAUGUCUAGAAAAGUGUUUAAAGUCAAUCUAUUCAUUUGUGUGUUUCCUUCUCAUCAAUCUCAGUAAGAUUUGUUAGGGGGUUUUCCACACUAUAAAAACAAAAUGAAUGAUGUGAGGGAAUGUCACUCUGGUCAACCCCGUAGGGGAUUGACGGCUUGAAGCCGUCUUUCCCCAAAAAUACUUAGUUAUGUCCCUUAGACAUUCAGAUUUUUUUACUUGUAUAAGUAAAAAAGUCAUUCUAUCUUCUUUUCUUGAAUUUUUUGGAUUUCUUUGCUCUAAUAGAAUUUUAAAUGGUUUGCCCUUUGCAGAUGUCUUUACUAAUCAUUUAAGUGUAAUUUGAUGGACAAUGAAAAUCCCAUUUGUCUGUUAUCUUCAGCACACUGCUUAUUUAAAAGCCCCCAAGGAGCAAUUUUUGAAGGCCUUGCACAAAUACUUAACCCUUACCAUGCGGUGACUGUCAUAUGACGGGCUAACCCAGACCACUGUUAUUUGGC